CAGUGAAUAUUUUAUUUAAAAUUUAAAUUUUGGAGAUUUAAGAUGUGUAUAAAUUACUCUUCAUUGA
rnacentral:tRNA from 1 species